rnacentral:rRNA from 1 species
AGAGUUUGAUCAUGGCUCAGGAUGAACGCUGGCGGCGUGCCUAAUACAUGCAAGUCGAACGCACAGCGAAAGGUGCUUGCACCUUUCAAGUGAGUGGCGAACGGGUGAGUAACACGUGGACAACCUGCCUCAAGGCUGGGGAUAACAUUUGGAAACAGAUGCUAAUACCGAAUAAAACUCAGUGUCGCAUGACACAAAGUUAAAAGGCGCUUUGGCGUCACCUAGAGAUGGAUCCGCGGUGCAUUAGUUAGUUGGUGGGGUAAAGGCCUACCAAGACAAUGAUGCAUAGCCGAGUUGAGAGACUGAUCGGCCACAUUGGGACUGAGACACGGCCCAAACUCCUACGGGAGGCUGCAGUAGGGAAUCUUCCACAAUGGGCGAAAGCCUGAUGGAGCAACGCCGCGUGUGUGAUGAAGGCUUUCGGGUCGUAAAGCACUGUUGUAUGGGAAGAACAGCUAGAAUAGGGAAUGAUUUAGUUUGACGGUACCAUACCAGAAAGGGACGGCUAAAUACGUGCCAGCAGCCGCGGUAAUACGUAUGUCCCGAGCGUUAUCCGGAUUUAUUGGGCGUAAAGCGAGCGCAGACGGUUGAUUAAGUCUGAUGUGAAAACCCGGAG